ensembl:lncRNA
UCCCGUUCCAUGAGCCCACUUUCUCCUGCUUUCUACAACCGCCUUUGCUAUGAGGGCUGGGUAUAGAGAGAGUUAAAACUGGGGUACGUCAACAAAUUUUGUAAUUUUGGUAAAAGUCAGUCUUUCUGAGAGCGACUUGCAAAUAUACGUAAUUUAUUAAUUUAUUAGUCCUCAAAUUAUAAUUCUGUGAUUGAUUUCAACCAGUGACCCAGAAGUAUGAGAAUCUUUUGAAUUAUUGGUAAAACCUGCAAUUUUAAGGUAUCACAUUAAAAUUUGGUUGUAGAAAAGCUUGUCGGAUAUGACCAGUGCUCCCUUUCCAUGGCCACUGACUCUGAAGAUACCAAGGCAUUCUCAAAAACAGCCAAGAGACAAUAUCUUUAGUUUGUCCUGGGUCUACCCAAGGUCUCUCCUCAGUAGUCUCACCUAAGAAACUUCCAGGAUGCAUAUUAGUCAGAUGCCUGAAACACCUCACUUGGUGUCUUUAUAUGCUGAGAAGAAACAUCUCUACUCUGAGUCCUUACCUUAUCUCUAAGGAUGAGUCCAGACAGUCUUUUGAGUCUUCUUUCUGGUAGUUGUAUCCACCGUUUUAUUCCUUCAGUCACUAUUCACAGUUUGUGGCCAAAUAGUUACGGAUCACUACAAACAUUGUACCAAUCUCUGGUCAGCCUCCCAAUCCAUUUUCCCCCAUUCAUGAGCAAGACCCCAAGACACUUUAACUCCUCUAUUUGAGAAAACAGCCUGUCCCCAUAGCAAAGUGGGCAAUCCACCUUCUUCUGGCUCAGAACCAUCGCUUCAGACUUACAGGUGUUAACUAUCAACCCCGCUGCUUAUUAGCUGUGAACCACUUAGUGUCUGGAAAGCAAAAAAGUCAGCAUCGUACUCAAACAACCAAGACGCAAUGUCAAGACCCAAUAUCCUCUGUCCUUGGCUGUUCCUACAAAUUUUGUGCAUGAAAGUUCAGAGAAAAAUGACAAAGUUGGAGCAACAAAAAACCAAAACUUAGCGAUAAUGAUAGUCCUGAUCCUUACCUUGGGAAACAUUGCCAGCUUUAACCCUAAGGCUUGUUUAAGGGUUAGGGUCACAUCUACCAUUUAGCACUUUCACCUGUUUGGUGAAAUGCAACCCUAACGGCAACCCUACCACCAAAGUGGUUCACCGAUGAACUAGCGGAUGUUAAGAACACCAUUAAUGACUGAUAAAGUUAAUCAGUAGAUAAAACUGUAAUAAUUACCCCAGUGUGGAAUUUUUUUUAAUUUAAAUAAGGAGACUAAAAGCAGAAAUACAGCGUCCCUUUAAGUGUGAACGAUAGGUGGGCUCACAUUAUUUUUCUGUGGUGCUAGCCGACUAACAAAACAGACAAAUCAGUCCAUUUGCUGCGAUCCGGCGAGUAGAAACAUUAGUUGCGAACGCGUAACAGAAGCAGCAGCAUCAGUGUUCAUAUGGUGCGACACUCUCGAGCUUCAGAGUCAACUGGCUGCUAAUCCCACUUCAUAUGGUGCAAAUACAAAACACACAUGUACUUAUGGUGCAAUAAGGGCAGAUUGUCUCUUUGAAUUCUAUGGUGCAACUUGAGUACUGCCUUCAGUUAUCAGCCAAGGCUGUGCCAAAGGCUCCGUCCAAACGGACAACUGCUCUUCCUGUCCUGCAGAAGCUAUGCAAGUCUCCAACAUGGGGGAGAUGUGCUUAGUGUACACACACACACACACACAGACACACACAAACACACACAGUUUUCCUCUGAAGCAGGGAGAGACACACAAUGAAAAGCAGUGUAAUAACAUGGGAUGUAUCCCUACCUCACCGCUUGAACACACACAAACACACUCACACACCAAUGUCCAGUAUUCCCUUACCCCUUUAUAAUUUGGGAACAAUAUUCAUAUGGUGCUAUUGAGUAAAGCUAGAGGGGUUUUUGUAUAGUUGUGGUUACAGUGAAGAAUUAGCCAAAUAUGUGUAUCAAACAUUCAAAUCGAUGAAACAGUCUAAUUCCUUCAUGUUGACGGCGUAUGUAAAAACAGCAACACUUUCCGUCUCUGUGAAACACAUCAAAGCAACAAUGCCUUAUCUGCUCGACUGAAGUGGAGGUGGUUUCUUUUUUUCUUUCUUUUUUUCUGUGUGUGUGUGGUUUUUUUUAAGAUAUGAGUCAUAGGAGGGUGGUGCUACUUUUCUGGUACACUCUGAUCUGGACAUGCACUGUACAUGAAGAAUAGCGUCAACACGCAGAAAUCAAAGGAAAACAGCGUCAUGUGCCAUUUAGAGAGCACAGUCAGGCAUCUCCUGCUCGUUUCACAGAAAAACAAAUAAUCUCGCAGGAGCGAUCUAGAUUUGAGAGUAAAUAUAAAUGGCCAAGAGUCACAGCUUAUAUGUUUCUGAACAAAGAGCAGCUGCCCCGCUUGUUUUUUUCCCACAGCAUUAACCGCUGAUUUAAUUUUUUUGAUCCAAUCCACAGCUCUUUGCACCCAGAGCUCCAGCCAAUGAGAAAUCAGGUUUAUUAUAGCCAAAUCAGGUUAGAAGCAACCAAAUAAUACAAUUCUCUCUCUUUAUAUGGAACUACUCAUAAGGAGCGUUCAGACUCAGCAAUAGCCUCAUGAUCAAAGUCCAGGUAUCAUACAUCAGUCUCGGUUGUGUCACCCAGCAGUCAAAAAUCAUCCACACUGGGCCUAUGACUGAGCCUGCGCGCUCUGAGUGAUAAGUUUCUUCCCUCAUCGAGAAAACCAGAGCCUUAUUCAUGCCCACACUGUAAGAGAAUUUAAAUCCAGUAGGUGUUAUGUCACUGUUGUAUGGCUUCACAUCCACAGCUAUGCAAGGUUACAAGCAAGAAGGUUCUGGCCUUAGAUAACCUUUACAGAAAUACCACAUCACUGUUCUCACGCGUUGCUUGUUUUUAUAUAUAUGUUUUAGGCUUUUUUUUCUCUUAGGAGGAAGGAAUAAACCAUAAAGUCUUGAUGUGCAGAAUUGCAAAUAUGUGAUGUACCAUUUGUUUACAGAUUUUAAGCUUUUUGCAUUUUUCUUAAAUAAUUUGGUGAUUAUUUUUAUGGACUUUACAUUGUUCUCUAUCAGGAUUGACUUCUGAUGGUUUAAAAUUGGUCGGGAGGGGAAAACUGUACCUUGGGAAUAACUGGGAUGAAUGCCACCUCCCGACUGAGGAAUGUGUAUCUGUGAAAAUGAAAUGAAAACCAAGGAGUUGUUUUUCCUUUGGAUAAAAUACAUAAAUGUUCCACUAUCAGGGUCUACAAAGCAUAUGAGGCCUGUGGUAAGGCUGGCUGUGUGUGUGUGUGUGUGUGUGUGUGUGUGUGUGUGUGUGUGUGUGUGUGUGUGUGUGUGUCUGAGCACAAGCUACCAUACCGUGUCAUGAAUGCUUCAUAUAUUCUUUUGCGUGCUUGGUCUAGAGCUGUGAAAGUAUGGUUUUAUUGAGGCCAGAUGUUAAGUUGUUUCUGAUCUCAGACCAGUUUUUACCAGAUCUGAGUCCGAUGACAAUUCAAAUCCUUUCCUUGAGGAACCGAAGAGGUUUGGUAGUUUUGGCACAGAAAAUGAACAAAAAGGAUUUCAGUGGUUUGACUCAGGUUUGGAUACUAUAAGCACAGGGCAGGGUCAAACUAAACCUUAACUUGGAAGUACCUGUUAGACGUACCAUGAGCUUUUAUUUUGUUAGGGUCAUGCUUUUCUACCAUGUUCUUCAGCUUGGGGGGAGAAAAAAAGUAGCUCUAGCGACUUCGAUGUGCAAAAGUAACUUUUAUUUUCUUGUGGGUGGCAUUUUGAUUGUAAAUACCUUUUUCUGGUAAUCCUUCUCAGUUGGAUCUAUGUUCCAUGGGUUUGCUUAGAUGGCUCUUUGAAAUGUACCGAUAGUAAAUGUUCUUUCUAAAUAUCCAGAAUGUAAAACGAGAGAAGAAAAAUUCAGCCUGACUGGAAGCUGUGUUUUCAUAGGAAUCUGUGCCAUUGUGUUGUCUUGAGUAUAAGCACACUGAUAUUAGCUCUGUGGGUGGGAUGACGUUUUUGGAGGUGAUUUGCCAGACAACUGUGCUCCUUUUUUUUUACUUUAAAAUAAAAUAAUUAUUAAGCAAUAAUUUAUUUCAAAAGAAACCUUCACAAGAAAUGUUUAUCAUAAUAUAUAACAAAAUAAUUUGUUAUACAUUAUGAUUUUAGUCACAGAAAAUUCAGAGAGAAGACUUUCAUGUUUAUGGGGGGAAAUUAACAAGACAAAAUAAUGGUAAAUGUAAAAAUAGAAAAAGUUAACAUUCUGACAACUAAUUUUUUUUUUUUUAAACCUUAAUCUUGAUUUCUGAGUUCAAUCUUGCACAUUUAUCACUUCAUCAAUUCAGGUUAUCUUUGCUUACAUAUUACUACAAAAAUGUCAAAUUAAAAAAUCCAUUGGGUAAUUAUUUUUGCUUCAGUUUAAAGUUUAACGUACAAGGAAAUGGCUAAUUAGCUAGCUAGCUAGUUCUGGCCAAAAAGCUAACGCUAACGAAAAAGUUUUUCGCACAAUUGGUUUUGUUUGGAAUAAAUAACAUAAAAGAUAUAAAAUAAUAAAUCGGAAGUAUUCAUUUAUUAUAAAAGAAGACUUCUCCCACAUCUAAUCUCUGUACAAACCUUAUCUAGAGAGUUUGUGACUUCUAGUCACAUUUAUCAUUUAUCUUUUAGUCGUAUAUUUAGCAUACAUAUCAUUAGACAUGAAAGCAGCAUCUUUUUAUAAUUGUCCAUAUUUUCCAAGUCAGUCAUUAGUUUUUACCUUCAUUAAAAAAAUGUUCAAUUUCUCAAUUCACCCCAAUUCCAAAUAUCAGCUCGCUAGUUUGGUUCUGACUAAAAAAUACAGUGUCUCGUACAAAAACAAAAAAAGCUAACUAGCCAUUUCCCUUUUCCUGCAGUCCAGGUGAUUGUGAUAAAAAUGUAUAUAUUGGAUAAGGAGGACAUUUUAAACUCCACAUAUAAUCAACUAGCUGAGUGCAGUGCAAUCACAAAAAAGCCAAAACAUGGGCGUGUAUUACAUUUCAUAUGCGAGUCGGGCUGUCUGGCUAACAUCUCCUAACUUCACUACAGAAAUUCAAAUCGCUCCCACGUCAGCUCAUGAGAGAUACCAUUCAGGGGGUUUCCCUAAUUCACAACAAAUACAAAUGGGAGGGGAACGAGAAGACCCAUCGUGUACCUUCAGUUUGUGUAUUGCGUGUCUACGAUAGUACCUAAGCAUUACGGUUAAGAGUUGAAUGAUAUUUUCGGUGAUUCUAGGCAGCCACCAUUAGGAAAUGUGUUAUUUUUGUUACAAUACCUCCUGAAAAUAAAGUCUAUUUAUCUGUGAAGAGACAAAGAUUUACAAUAAUACAGAUGACUACAUAGAAAUUAUGACAGAUUUUAAAUGAUGUGAAAGAAAUAUAAAUGAAAACAUGUACAGUUCGUUUGGUUUUGAACACAGAACAAAUGUAUAUGCGUCAGUAUUGAGUUUGAUUUUAUAUGUUUAUCAUUUUAUUACAUUGUAAUGUGACUGCAAUGGAGAGAAAAAAAAUAUAAAGGAAUAUAAAUUAAUUUUUCCCAAAGGUGUCUCGGUUGUUUUUCCCCAAUGCCAGCUGACAUAAGGAGUUUUUGUGUAGUGAUUCUGAGGAGGAUUAAGAGACGAAUCAGGCUUCCCAACAUUUUUUAUUUUGUCAAAAUCUCGUAACUACAC